GGUUAAGCGACUAAGCGUACACGGUGGAUGCCCUGGCAGUCAGAGGCGAUGAAGGACGUGCUAAUCUGCGAAAAGCGUCGGUAAGGUGAUAUGAACCGUUAUAACCGGCGAUGUCCGAAUGGGGAAACCCAGUGUGAUUCGUCACACUAUCGUUAACUGAAUACAUAGGUUAACGAGGCGAACCGGGGGAACUGAAACAUCUAAGUACCCCGAGGAAAAGAAAUCAACCGAGAUUCCCCCAGUAGCGGCGAGCGAACGGGGAGCAGCCCAGAGUCUGAAUCAGCUUGUGUGUUAGUGGAACGGUCUGGAAAGUCCGACGGUACAGGGUGAUAGUCCCGUACACCAAAAUGCACAGGCUGUGAACUCGAAGAGUAGGGCGGGACACGUGGUAUCCUGUCUGAAUAUGGGGGGACCAUCCUCCAAGGCUAAAUACUCCUGACUGACCGAUAGUGAACCAGUACCGUGAGGGAAAGGCGAAAAGAACCCCGGCGAGGGGAGUGAAAAAGAACCUGAAACCGUGUACGUACAAGCAGUGGGAGCACCUUCGGGUGUGACUGCGUACCUUUUGUAUAAUGGGUCAGCGACUUAUAUUCUGUAGCAAGGUUAACCGUAUAGGGGAGCCGCAGGGAAACCGAGUCUUAACUGGGCGUUAAGUUGCAGGGUAUAGACCCGAAACCCGGUGAUCUAGCCAUGGGCAGGUUGAAGGUUGGGUAACACUAACUGGAGGACCGAACCGACUAAUGUUGAAAAAUUAGCGGAUGACUUGUGGCUGGGGGUGAAAGGCCAAUCAAACCGGGAGAUAGCUGGUUCUCCCCGAAAGCUAUUUAGGUAGCGCCUCGUGAACUCAUCUUCGGGGGUAGAGCACUGUUUCGGCUAGGGGGUCAUCCCGACUUACCAACCCGAUGCAAACUACGAAUACCGAAGAAUGUUAUCACGGGAGACACACGGCGGGUGCUAACGUCCGUCGUGAAGAGGGAAACAACCCAGACCGCCAGCUAAGGUCCCAAAGUCAUGGUUAAGUGGGAAACGAUGUGGGAAGGCACAGACAGCCAGGAUGUUGGCUUAGAAGCAGCCAUCAUUUAAAGAAAGCGUAAUAGCUCACUGGUCGAGUCGGCCUGCGCGGAAGAUGUAACGGGGCUAAACCAUGCACCGAAGCUGCGGCAGCGACACUAUGUGUUGUUGGGUAGGGGAGCGUUCUGUAAGCCUGCGAAGGUGACCUGUGAGGGUUGCUGGAGGUAUCAGAAGUGCGAAUGCUGACAUAAGUAACGAUAAAGCGGGUGAAAAGCCCGCUCGCCGGAAGACCAAGGGUUCCUGUCCAACGUUAAUCGGGGCAGGGUGAGUCGACCCCUAAGGCGAGGCCGAAAGGCGUAGUCGAUGGGAAACAGGUUAAUAUUCCUGUACUUGGUGUUACUGCGAAGGGGGGACGGAGAAGGCUAUGUUAGCCGGGCGACGGUUGUCCCGGUUUAAGCAUGUAGGCUGGUUAUCCAGGCAAAUCCGGAUAAUCAAGGCUGAGGUGUGAUGACGAGGCACUACGGUGCUGAAGUAACAAAUGCCCUGCUUCCAGGAAAAGCCUCUAAGCAUCAGGUAACAUCAAAUCGUACCCCAAACCGACACAGGUGGUCAGGUAGAGAAUACCAAGGCGCUUGAGAGAACUCGGGUGAAGGAACUAGGCAAAAUGGUGCCGUAACUUCGGGAGAAGGCACGCUGGUGUGUAGGUGAAGUCCCUGCGGAUGGAGCUGAGACCAGUCGAAGAUACCAGCUGGCUGCAACUGUUUAUUAAAAACACAGCACUGUGCAAACACGAAAGUGGACGUAUACGGUGUGACGCCUGCCCGGUGCCGGAAGGUUAAUUGAUGGGGUUAUCCGUAAGGAGAAGCUCUUGAUCGAAGCCCCGGUAAACGGCGGCCGUAACUAUAACGGUCCUAAGGUAGCGAAAUUCCUUGUCGGGUAAGUUCCGACCUGCACGAAUGGCGUAAUGAUGGCCAGGCUGUCUCCACCCGAGACUCAGUGAAAUUGAACUCGCUGUGAAGAUGCAGUGUACCCGCGGCAAGACGGAAAGACCCCGUGAACCUUUACUAUAGCUUGACACUGAACAUUGAGCCUUGAUGUGUAGGAUAGGUGGGAGGCUUUGAAGCGUGGACGCCAGUCUGCGUGGAGCCAACCUUGAAAUACCACCCUUUAAUGUUUGAUGUUCUAACGUUGGCCCCUUACCGGGGUUGCGGACAGUGUCUGGUGGGUAGUUUGACUGGGGCGGUCUCCUCCCAAAGCGUAACGGAGGAGCACGAAGGUUAGCUAAUCCUGGUCGGACAUCAGGAGGUUAGUGCAAUGGCAUAAGCUAGCUUGACUGCGAGCGUGACGGCGCGAGCAGGUGCGAAAGCAGGUCAUAGUGAUCCGGUGGUUCUGAAUGGAAGGGCCAUCGCUCAACGGAUAAAAGGUACUCCGGGGAUAACAGGCUGAUACCGCCCAAGAGUUCAUAUCGACGGCGGUGUUUGGCACCUCGAUGUCGGCUCAUCACAUCCUGGGGCUGAAGUAGGUCCCAAGGGUAUGGCUGUUCGCCAUUUAAAGUGGUACGCGAGCUGGGUUUAGAACGUCGUGAGACAGUUCGGUCCCUAUCUGCCGUGGGCGCUGGAGAAUUGAGGGGGGCUGCUCCUAGUACGAGAGGACCGGAGUGGACGCAUCACUGGUGUUCGGGUUGUCAUGCCAAUGGCACUGCCCGGUAGCUAAAUGCGGAAGAGAUAAGUGCUGAAAGCAUCUAAGCACGAAACUUGCCCCGAGAUGAGUUCUCCCUGAGACUUUAAGUCUCCUGAAGGAACGUUAAAGACGAUGACGUUGAUAGGCCGGGUGUGUAAGCGCAGCGAUGCGUUGAGCUAACCGGUACUAAUGAACCGUGAGGCUUAACCUUAC
rnacentral:rRNA from 1 species